CUUGUGUACCUGAGGCCUUCUGUGGGUUGCAUAUUACUGAAUAACUUGCAACAUUUCUACUUUGUUAUAAUUUAAUUUCAAAUGGUUUUGGAAUAUUAUUACAUGAAUGUUCGGAGCACCCAGAAGAGGAAAGAUGUGGAGCUUUUGGAACAUGUCCAAAGGAUGGCCAUAAUGGUUUAUAUAGCUUGCUGUACUGAACUGCUGCACAUGCUCCAGAGCAGUCUUUAUUUUUAAUUCAUACAGCUACAUAUCCUGCAUUUCCCUCAGGCUAGUUGAAGACUUCAUGCUCCGACUUCAUCUGAAAAUGAGUGCUCAUUUUCAAGGAAAGAAAGCAGUGGCCCAAGCUGCCUCUGGGAGAAGUGAAAACACCAUCAGGAAGCCUGACAAAAUUCUUUAGAAGAAGGAUGUGGAAACAUUUCUCCUCAGAGCACGCAAGGCUGUGAAUCAUGAAGGUGCUACUUCAUGUCUAUUCAUUCCAUGUCUGAGGGGAAAAAGAAACGUGGAAAAUACUAAGAACUCUUUGCCAGAAUUUUCUACUGGAGAUGAAAGGAUUUAUCGUGAAUGUUGCUUUGGGAUUUAAAUUUGCCUUUUGUUUUGAACUUAAGACAGAACUGUUUUAGAAGAAAUCAGCAAUGAAUUGCGUCCUGUGUCAUGGGCUGCAGAGCCUGUCAGCAGGGACUUACCUCCCUCCCAUGCCAUUCCUGCAAACUAGAAACUGCAGAGCUCUAGACCAGCUAAUGUUGGACUCCAUUCUAGAUGAGGGUGCAAGUAUUAAAAGCUGCCUUUUUCUUUUUUUUUCCCAAGGUAAAGGUCAGAGGUUAAACAAGGAACUGUGUUGGUUGUCCUGUACGGCUGUAUCACCAGACUGAGAAAAACUUCUCUGCACUUUCAGGAGGGGAGCUUUUCUCAUUCUAAUGCUUUCUCAAAGAGCAGAAACUCUUGACAUGUACAAGAACGUGUUCAGGCUGCUUCUGCAAAGAAGGGCACAUAGCUUGUGCCAUGGCUGCAGUGUGAGUGCACUUCCACAGUGCAGAUGUGGCCAGGUCUAGUGACCUGCCACCAGCCUGUGUGUGGUCCUUUCCAGCUCAGUCUGUAAUGCGGCUUAGUUAUAGAACUGCACCCAAAUCUCUCUACCCUGAAAGAGCUUCUCCCAUCACCAAGCUACCUCCCAAGUUACUUUGUAGCUGCAACACUCUGCUCAAGGCUUCUGCAUUCAUUUCAGUCAUGCUGACAGACCUCCACAUUUUCCUCUACAUUCAGAGUGCUGCUGCUGGUUAAAAGAUGCUAUGUAGCAGCAGAUGAUGAUUUGUCUGUACGUGGUGCCUGGAGUCGAUCUUCACUCUGUCUUCUAGUGUUCCUUCAUAGAAAGCACGUCCGAAAGAAGAAGGGAUUUACUCCUGUAAGGGCCCUUAAAGACUGGUUUGGCUCCUGCGUGGGAAUUUCAAAACAAAGAAAACUUCAGAAACAAACAAACAAGAAAGACAACAAAGACAACACUGAUGUGAUAAGGUACUUCCAGAUUCUCUUCUACUAUAUUAUAUAUAUAAUUAUAUAUUAUUUAUGUUAUAUAUUCUCAGCAGAAAUAGCACUGUGGAGGGAAGGAGCUUAUACAGAUUUCCUUUGAGAAUUCAGCCUCACAUCUCUUCUGUUCUGCAAAUAUCAACAGUUUCCUUUCCCAUCCAUUUACCUUUACCUCACUGCUUCAGGCCCUUCUCCAUCUCCCAGAUGUCUCUAUGAAGUCAUUCAUGGGAUAUUACACAGGCACCAUGCAUUUGCAGCACAAGAAUACUGAUACAUUAAUAAUACAAGCCCAACAAAUAAUGUUUUUUGUUUGUUGACUAUACAACUUAACCUGUAAGUGAAGGCAUGCAAAAAAGGGGAUGUGUUCUUCAGCGCAGGGACUGGCUCACUCAGGGCCUGGUUUUGUAUUCUUCAUGUUGACAGUAUUUAACAAAUAAUGAUGCUCAGUUAGAGCUACAGCAGGAGUCAACACUAUACUUCUCAACUCCAUUGCAAUCACACAGAUAAUGCUAUGCUCUCAUUUCAUACUGAGCAUGCUAACUGUAUUUUAAACAACUUUCAGAAGAGUUUUACUAAUUUUAAAUACACCUGCCAUUGCUGUCAUGAAAAUGUACUUCAAAAUAAAAAAGGAAGCAAUGACAGAGGCAUUAAAAUGCAGAGACAUUAUUCAUAUUAGCAGGGAAGAGCCUCAGUGCAAAUGCUAUACGAAGUACUGUCACUCUGUUCUCUGCCUGCUCCUUUGUCAAUACACUCAGGCAUGGGGUAGCUAUUUGU